rnacentral:rRNA from 1 species
UGCCAGCCGCCGCGGUAAUACGGAGGGAGCUAGCGUUGUUCGGAAUUACUGGGCGUAAAGCGUGCGUAGGCGGAUCGACAAGUUGGGGGUGAAAUCCCGGGGCUUAACCCCAGGCUCGCAUUUGAAACUGAUGUUCUUGAAUAUGGUAGAGGUAGGCGGAAUUCCGGGUGUAGCGGUGGAAUGCGUAGAUAUCCGGAAGAACACCAAUUGCGAAGGCAGCCUACUGGGCCAUUAUUGACGCUGAGGCUCGAAAGCGUGGGGAGCGAACAGGAUUAGAUA